rnacentral:rRNA from 1 species
UACGUAGGUGGCAAGCGUUGUCCGGAUUUACUGGGCGUAAAGAGCGCGCAGGCGGUCGUAUAAGUCGAAUGUGAAAGCCCCCGGCUCAACUGGGGAGGGUCAUUCGAUACUGUUCGACUCGAAGGCAGGAGAGGGAAGUGGAAUUCCGGGGUGUAGUGGUGAAAUGCGUAGAUAUCGGGAGGAACACCAGAGGCGAAGGCGGCAAACUGGACAGCAACUGACACUCAACUGCGAAAGCGUGGGGAGCAAACAGG